CCCUCCGCAUAGGAGAUCAGCUGGUUCUGGAAGAAGAUUAUGAUGAGACCUACAUUCCUAGUGAGCAAGAAAUUCUUGAAUUUGCCCGGGAGAUUGGUAUUGAUCCCAUCAAGGAACCAGAACUGAUGUGGCUGGCGCGAGAGGGCAUCGUGGCCCCACUGCCUGGAGAGUGGAAACCAUGGUAAGUCAGCAGGGGGUGCGGCCACUGACUUGGCCUAGCAGAGGCAGAGGGAAGCUAAUACUGGAGAUCGGUUUGAACUGGCCAGCUUUUCCAAGCCUAUCCUGUACAGUCAGGGACAGUACUGUGCCACCCCUCUGCUAUGCUGCCUGCUAUUUCAGGCUUCAGUGUAGGCUGACUGAAUGGUCCCUGGUCCCUAGGAUGGGGUUCAAUGCUUAUAUCCAAGGCCACAGGAGCUACUGCCCUGGGUCUGGUUCUCUAGCACAAGCAUCUGUUUAGGAUGUGCUGAGGGGUUGUUGUUACUCCUUGCAGACUGAUAUUGUAAGUGACAACUUUACCUCCUUAGCAUGUCUAAGUUGGAUGCUGGUCUUGCCGGGUACGGUGGCCCACGCCUGUAAUCCCAGUGCUUUGGGAGGCCGAGGUGGGUGGAUUGCUUGAGGUCAGGAAUUCGAGACCAGCCUGGCCAAGAUGGUGAAACCGCGUCUCUACUAAAAAUACAAAAAAUUAGCUGGGUGUGGUAGUGCACACCUGCAGUCCUAGCUACUUAGGAGGCUGAGGCAGGAGAAUAACUUGAACCUGGGAGGCGGAGGUUGCAGUGAGCCGAGAUUGCGGCACAGCACUCCAGCAUGGGCGACAGAGCGAGACUCCAUCUCAAAAAAAAAAACCAAAGUAAAUAAAUAAAACUACUACU
rnacentral:lncRNA from 10 species